AUGUCUGUCUCCUUCCUCAUCGUCCUCCCCGUGCUGGGCCUCCCAUGGGGUGUCCUGUCACAGGUGCAGCUGCAGGAGUCAGGUCCAGGACUGGUGAAGCCCUCACAGACCCUGUCACUCACCUGUGCCAUCUCCGGGGACAGUGUCUCUAGCAACAGUGCUACUUGGAACUGGAUCAGGCAGUCGCCAUCGAGAGGCCUUGAGUGGCUGGGAAGGACAUACUACAGGUCCAAGUGGUAUAAUGAUUAUGCACAAUCUGUGCAAAAUCGAAUAAGCAUCAACCCAGACACAUCCAAGAACCAGUUCUCCCUGCAGCUGAACUCUGUGACCCCCGAGGACAUGGCCGUGUAUUACUGUGCAAGAGACACACCUCUCCUGGGUCGGGGCCUCCCACAAUGUGACUACUUUGACUACUGGGGCCAGGGAGUCCUGGUCACCGUCUCCUCAGGGAGUGCAUCCGCCCCAACCCUUUUCCCCCUCGUCUCCUGUGAGAAUGCCCCGUUGGAUACAAACGAAGUGGCCGUUGGCUGCCUCGCACAGGACUUCCUUCCCGACUCCAUCACUUUCUCCUGGAAAUUCAAGAACAACUCUGACAUCAGCAAAGGCGUCUGGGGCUUCCCAUCAGUCCUGAGAGGGGGCAAGUACGCGGCCACCUCGCAGGUGCUGCUGGCUUCCAAGGACGUCAUGCAGGGCACAGACGAACACGUGGUAUGCAAAGUCCAGCACCCCAAUGGCAACAAAGAACAGAACGUGCCUCUUCCAGUGCUUGCCGAGCGGCCUCCCAACGUGAGUGUCUUCGUCCCACCCCGAGACGGCUUCGUCGGCAACCCCCGCGAGUCCAAGCUCAUCUGCCAGGCCACAGGUUUCAGCCCCCGGCAGAUUGAGGUGUCCUGGCUGCGCGAGGGGAAGCAGGUGGGGUCUGGCAUCACCACGGACCGGGUGGAGGCUGAAGCCAAAGAGUCUGGGCCCACAACCUUCAAGGUGACCAGCACACUGACCGUCAGCGAGAGAGACUGGCUCAGCCAGAGCGUGUUCACCUGCCGCGUGGAUCACAGGGGCCUGACCUUCCAGAAGAACGUGUCCUCCGUGUGUGGCCCCAAUCCAGACACAGCCAUCCGGGUCUUCGCCAUCCCCCCAUCCUUUGCCAGCAUCUUCCUCACCAAGUCCACCAAGUUGACCUGCCUGGUCACAGACCUGGCCACCUACGACAGUGUGACCAUCACCUGGACCCGCCAGAAUGGCGAAGCUCUGAAAACCCACACCAACAUCUCCGAGAGCCACCCCAAUGGCACCUUCAGCGCUGUGGGUGAGGCCAGCAUCUGCGAGGACGACUGGAACUCCGGGGAGAGGUUCAGGUGCACCGUGACCCACACGGACCUGCCCUCGCCGCUGAAGCAGACCAUCUCCAGGCCCAAGGGGGUGGCCAUGCACAGGCCCGAUGUCUACUUGCUGCCACCAGCCCGGGAACAGCUGAACCUGCGGGAGUCGGCCACCAUCACCUGCCUGGUGACGGGCUUCUCUCCCGCGGACAUCUUCGUGCAGUGGAUGCAGAGGGGGCAGCCUUUGUCCCCGGAGAAGUAUGUGACCAGUGCCCCAAUGCCUGAGCCCCAGGCCCCAGGCCGGUACUUCGCCCACAGCAUCCUGACCGUGUCUGAAGAGGACUGGAACACGGGGGAGACCUACACCUGCGUCGUGGCCCAUGAGGCCCUGCCCAACAGGGUCACCGAGAGGACCGUGGACAAGUCCACCGGUAAACCCACCCUGUACAACGUGUCCCUCGUCAUGUCCGACACAGCUGGCACCUGCUACUGACCCUGCUGGCCUGCCCACAGGCUCAGGGCGGCCGGCCGCCCUGUGUGUGUGCACGCAAACUAACCGUGUCAACGGGGUGAGAUGUUGCAUCUUAUAAAAUUAGAAAUAAAAAGAUCCAUUCAAAA